AUUGAACGCUGGCGGCAUGCUUUACACAUGCAAGUCGAACGGCAGCGGGGAGGAGCUUGCUUCUCUGCCGGCGAGUGGCGAACGGGUGAGUAAUACAUCGGAACGUGUCGAGAAGAGGGGGAUAACCACCCGAAAGGGUGGCUAAUACCGCAUAAAUUCUGAGGAAGAAAGCUGGGGACCUAGGAAUAGGCCUAGCGCUUUUUGAGCGGCCGAUGUCGGAUUAGCUAGUUGGUGAGGUAAAGGCUCACCAAGGCGAAGAUCUGUAGCGGGUCUGAGAGGAUGAUCCGCCACACUGGGACUGAGACACGGCCCAGACUCCUACGGGAGGCAGCAGUGGGGAAUUUUGGACAAUGGGGGCAACCCUGAUCCGGCCAUGCCGCGUGUAUGAAGAAGGCCUUAGGGUUGUAAAGUACUUUUGUUAGGGAAGAAAAGUCAGCUGUGAAUAAUGGCUGAUACUGACGGUACCUAAAGAAUAAGCACCGGCUAACUACGUG
rnacentral:rRNA from 1 species